CCUACGGGUGGCAGCAGUGGGGAAUAUUGGGCAAUGGAGGAAACUCUGACCCAGCAACGCCGCGUGAAUGAUGAAGGUCUUCGGAUUGUAAAGUUCUUUUCUAAGGGAAGAAGAUAAUGACGGUAUCUAACGAAUAAGCACCGGCUAACUCCGUGCCAGCAGCCGCGGUAAUACGGAGGGUGCAAGCGUUACUCGGAAUCACUGGGCGUAAAGAGCGCGUAGGCGGGAUAGCAAGUCAGAUGUGAAAUCCUAUGGCUUAACCAUAGAACUGCAUUUGAAACUGUUAUUCUAGAGUACGGGAGAGGUAGGUGGAAUUCUUGGUGUAGGGGUAAAAUCCGUAGAGAUCAAGAGGAAUACUCAUUGCGAAGGCGACCUGCUAGAACAUAACUGACGCUGAUGCGCGAAAGCGUGGGGAGCAAACAGGAUUAGAUACCCCAGUAGUC
rnacentral:rRNA from 1 species